GCUUAGAGAGGGGUCAAUGUCCUAUCAGCUAGUUGGUAAGGUAAUGGCUUACCAAGGCUAAGACGGGUAGCCGGCCUGAGAGGGUGGUCGGCCACACUGGGACUGAGACACUGCCCAGACUCCUACGGGAGGCUGCAGUCGAGAAUCUUUCGCAAUGCCCGAAAGGGUGACGAAGCGACGCCGCGUGUGGGAAGAAGGCCUUCGGGUUGUAAACCACUGUCGGGAGUUAAGAAAUGUAAGGGUGUUAAUAGCAUCCUUACUUGACUAAGGCUCCGGAGGAAGCCACGGCUAACUCUGUGCCAGCAGCCGCGGUAAUACAGAGGCGGCAAGCGUUGUUCGGAAUUAUUGGGCGUAAAGAGCACGUAGGCGGCUUUGUAAGUCAGUUGUGAAAGCCUUCCGCUUAACGGA
rnacentral:rRNA from 1 species